GUUGUAGUGUUCUAUGUAUUCUGGUAGUUUAUUUUUGAUACUGUAUUGUUGUAUACCAAUCUGCGUGGGAGCCGAAGCUCGAUUUGUUCCUAUUUCUGUUUCUGUUUCAGUACUAGUACAAUGUAAUGAUUUUGUGCUUUCAUGAAGUAUUUUGCGCUAUUUUUAUCUGUCGAGCAAUUUAGAAGACCUGUAGAGCACUUAACUAGAAAGUUGACUUUGCAUGUGCAACUAUGCUUGCUUAGAGGAGCCCUUGACUGGUUACAUUAUUGUGAUGGACCGUGCUGUUCUUAGUUGUGCUACAGUAUGUGUUCCGUGUUGUUUGCACUUGUUAGCCAAAUCAUUGCACACGCAGUGUUAAUGCGAUGUUGUAAAAUUCCUGUUUGUACAAUGUAUCUGCUACAUGUUGUUUUCAUCUUGAUAGCUAGCAGCCUAGCACCAUGAACUUUGAUUGUAAAAUCUCUAUAUGCUGUAAAAUUAAUUGGGUCAGUCUCGAAUUUGUUGUGAAUUGUAAGAUGCUUCAAGUAGAUGUUUUUUGCCUUCUCACGUGUAGGCGGUCAGGCGAGACAGCAAGUAGAGGUUCAGUCUGUUGGAGGAGUAUGGCGAGCUGCUGAUUUGGGCUAACCAGGGGCACACUGUGGCAGGCGUCCUGACUAUGAGCAGGAGCAGGUGCAUGUGCACCUGUUUGUAAUGCUAACGAAGGAGCUCCAUCCUGAAGAAUAUAGUGCUUGUAGAGCUUGUAAAUUAGUUACUCCACUUGUAGAGUUAUUUGUAGAGCAGGAGCACCAUUGUAUUGCGUGUUAUUUGUAGAGCAUGAGCUCCAUACAGAAUCUGGCUCUAUACUGAAUCUGGCUGUUGUUAUUUGAAGUAUUAUAUGUGUUUUUUGUCAGUGCCAAUUUAAAUAUUGGUUA